rnacentral:lncRNA from 1 species
UCUCAUCGACCAAUGAGCUUGGAUCAUUAAGGCCACGCCCCUAUUCUGAGUUCUAGUGGGACCCUGGUUACACCUCCUCUGGCUCAGUUGCACAACUGCCUGGCAUGUGACUGGAGGUACUUUGCAGUCAUUGCUGGGAUUUCACUGAUGUGACCCCAACGCUGCCUCCCUCUCCACCCCACGAUGUUGGAAGAAACUCAACAGAGUAAAUUGGCUGUGGCCAAGAAAAAGUCCUCGAGCCGCUGUGAAGCAGUCCUCAAGCGGCAGUUAUGGCAGUCCAUAAAGGCUCGGGCACAGCUGGAAGCACACGUGACACAGAUGUUGGAACAAGUCCAGCUAGAGACAGAUGAAUAUACUCAACAUCUAAAAGGAGAGAGGGCCCGGUGGCAGCAGAGGGUAUGGAAAAUGUCAGAGGAGGGCCCUGUCCCCCGUGCUUUGGGCAGGUUUGCACAUGGAAGGAGGAGAAGAAGCAUGACAGGCAUCGGGUACAGGAGCUGGAGAGGAGCUUGGCCGAACUCAAAAACUAGAUGGCUGAACCCCUGCCCCUGGAGCCCCCAGCAGGGCCCUCUGAGGUGGAACAGCAGCUACAAGCUGAGGCCGAGCACCCGAGGAAGGAGCAGGAGAGUCUGGCAGGACAGCUCCAAGCUCAGGUGCAAAACAAUCAAGGCUUGAGUCACCUGAACUGGGAGCAGGAGGAGAGGCUGCUGGAACGGGAGACUCUGCGGGAGCGGGAGGAGAGGCUACGGGAGUGGGAGGAGAGGCUGCGGAGCAGGAGGACAGGCUGCUCGAGCUGGGGCGGAAAGCCAAGCUCUGGGAGGAGCAGGCAGAGACGUGCAUGCAGGCCCUGCGGAACCACACCACCAUCAACCACGUGCUCUCUCAGAACCAUGAGCUCGACUAGCAGCUGGCUGGGCCACAGAGCGGCUUAGAGGAGCUGAACAACGAGAAUAAGAGUGCACUACAGUUGGAGCAGCAAGUAAAGGAGCUGCAGGAGAAGCUGGGCAAGCUGAAGGAGACUGUAACCUCUGCCCAUCCAAGAAGGGCUGGGAGGAGCACCUGGAAGGUACCAGCCAGCAGAACCAGCAGCUACAGGCCCAGUUGAGCCUCAUGGCACUCCCUAGGCAAGGAGAUGGAGGAGAACAUCUGGACAACGUGGAAGAGGAGGCUCAGCUUGGCCCAUGCUGAGCAUCCCGGAGGACCUGGAGAGCAGGGAGGUCAUGGCGAGCGUGACUCACUCUGCCCCCGCUUUGCCACCUUCCUCUGUGGUCCCUCCCAGACCCCCUUAUGCUCUUGGUUUCCCCACCUUCUGAUUUCUGUGGACGCUCACUCCUUCCAGGAGCCAGUGGUCAGACAUCAUUUCACCUGUGCAUUUCACCAACAGGUGCACUCUCUGAGGCCCCAAGGGAAGGGGCUGCGCUCUACCUCCCUGCCCCGUUUGUUCUGUAUAUGCCUCUAUAAGAAUACUCACCUCUU